rnacentral:lncRNA from 1 species
CGCCCCCCAAAACACCAAUAAACAACAAUAGACGACAGAUCGAACGGGCACUGGAAAGCCUGCAAACGGAGGCGUGUGCGGCUUCGCCGGCUCGAUGUGGAGCGCACGCCCAUGUCUACUGCUGAGCUGUUCCUGCAGGACGGCCAGUGGGUGUUCACUUUCCACCUGCUGCCCGGCACCUGCCUGGAGGCCGCCUGGGAAGCAUCCCUCCAGCCGGCGCCCCUCUGCCCUGCAGUGCGGACGUCGGGCGUGCUGCUCCUGCUCGGCGUCGGCACGCUCGUCUGCUGCCGGCUGUACGCGCGCUACUCGGGCGGUGG